rnacentral:rRNA from 1 species
CACGUAGGCACCAAGCGUUGUCCGGAUUUAUUGGGCGUAAAGAGCUCGUAGGCGGUUCGAUAAGUCGGGUGUGAAAACUUUGGGCUCAACCCAAAGCGUGCAUUCGAUACUGUUGUGACUAGAGUUCGGUAGGGGAGUGGGGAAUUCCUAGUGUAGCGGUGAAAUGCGCAGAUAUUAGGAGGAACACCGGUGGCGAAGGCGCCACUCUGGGCCGAAACUGACGCUGAGGAGCGAAAGCCAGGGGAGCAAACGGG